rnacentral:rRNA from 1 species
GACAGAGGGUGCAAACGUUGUUCGGAAUUACUGGGCGUAAAGCGCGUGUAGGCGGCUCUGUAAGUCGGGUGUGAAAUCCCACGGCUCAACCGUGGAAGUGCACUCGAAACUACAGGGCUAGAGUCCUGGAGAGGAAGGUGGAAUGCUUGGUGUAGAGGUGAAAUUCGUAGAUAUCAAGCGGAACACCGGUGGCGAAGGCGGCCUUCUGGACAGUGACUGACGCUGAGACGCGAAAAGCG